GACGACGCUGGCGGCGUGCCUAACACAUGCAAGUCGAGCGGGGUUGAGGCGAGAGGUAACUCGAACUUCUACCUAGCGGCGGACGGGUGAGUAACGCGUGGGCAACCUGCCUCAAGGUUUGGGAUAACAGCCCGAAAGGGCUGCUAAUACCGGAUAUGCCUAUGGCCUCGCAUGGGGCUAUGAGCAAAGGGGAAACCCGCCUUGAGAUGGGCCCGCGUCCCAUCAGCUAGUUGGUGAGGUAACAGCUCACCAAGGCGACGACGGGUAGCCGGCCUGAGAGGGUGACCGGCCACACGUGGGACUGAGACACGGCCCAGACUCCUACGGGGGGCAGCAGUGGGGGAUCUUGCACAAUGGGCGAAAGCCUGAUGCAGCGACGCCGCGUGAGCGAAGAAGGCCUUCGGGUUGUAAAGCUCUGUCUGGAGGGACGAACAAAAUGACGGUACCUCCGGAGGAAGCCACGGCUAACUACGUG
rnacentral:rRNA from 1 species